CUUCGUCUUCCUGGGAAAAUACAAUGGGUGGGACCUGGUUUCUUUGGGAGCUGCUACCUACGAUGUAGCUUGUCAAAGGGGGGCGUUUAGCCUCCCGGGCGUAGUUCCUUUUGGCAUUUCGUGUUUCGCCGCCAACAUACGGGCCUCCAAAUAUGGUGUCCACCUCGUGGAUAGGGGCUUCAUCUCUAGCUUGUUGGUUUCUUUGGUGUCUACGCCCUUUCUUGGGCCUCUCUGCAUCAUGCUCCCUU
rnacentral:lncRNA from 1 species